GCUCUUCUGACGCGGCUGUUACGCGCCCCUCCCUCCUCCGCAGUGUGGUGUGUGCGCGCUCCGUCACCCCUCCCGCCGCUGCCGCCACCGUUCUCAGAACUCCAGCCCGCUCGCGCACUGUUGGGGGGGUCGGAUCCGCCGUCCCCUGGAACGAACGGGCGGGGGAGUAGCGCCCGCCAGAGCGCGCGCCGGGGGGGUGCUGAGGGGCCGACCCUGUGUAGCUGGCGGUGCGAUGACUCCCUCCUCCCGCCCUACCCGGCCACUGGCGGUUGGAAACAGGGCCCAGGCUGGACUCUGUUGUAUCCGAGGAGCUAAACCCUGCACCUAAAGGUUCCCACACACUGAUAAACUCAGUGUCCUCCAGGCUAUCGGUGACAAGGAGGUAAACUACACUGCGUCUUCAGUGAUGAAAAGGCAGAUGGUGGUGCUGAGAGAGCAGAUAAAAGUAAGGGUCUGCUGGUUGUCAAAAGCUGUAUUGGCCCAAAUCCCUUACAAUGAGAUGGUGGUACAGACUGUGUGUUGAAAAGCCAAUGCCAAGCUCUGAAGUAGACAGAUGUCUUCUCUGUGCUAAAAGUUUUUGGUUCAAGGUCACAGAAAUAUCCUUGUAAAGUAAGCUGAUCCCUGGAUUAGGACUAAUUCCAGGACUGACUUGUCUUUUUCUUCUGAUUUUUUUUUUUAAUUUAAGAAGCGGUUCUAUGAUUAAGUGUUAGACCUCCAAACCUGUAAAUAUGGAAGGUGAAGAUGCCAAAAUUGUCUUCACUAGGGCUAAAAGUCCUUUUUCAGAAGGACUCUGACCAGUCUCUUCUAGUCUCUUGAGCCUGAAAAGUAAUGGAGGUGUAGCUACAUAUAAUUUGAAAGAAGGUCCUUAUUCCAAUCAUUCCAAAUUAUUAGAGAAUGCAUCAGAUUUUAUGUUCAGCGAACUUUCCUAAACCCUGACCUCCAUGUCAGCUUCAGCCAUUUUAUGUUGAUAAUUUAGAAAGCUGGGAGGAAAACCUUGUAAAAAUUAUUUUAACUGCACAAAACUGAAUUAGAAUUAAACUGAUUAAAGGGAAAUGCCCAAACACAAUAUAUUAAAAACUAAAAAAUAAAAAGUAGGUUUGAUCUACAGUACAGCAGCAGAUCAAAGAUCCAUUGGCAGACAGAAAAAAAAGGAGCUGAGUUGGGACAUUAUGCCUCUAACAAUUCUACUUUUAGCUUGAGGUUUAUGGCCUCAAGUAGGCUGAUUGCUUUAUAUUGGUUCUGGAAUUUACAGAACGUGCAAUUCCAAGAAUGUAUUGCAGAAGUGCAGCGAUAGCAUUGAGACCAAAAAUCAAUCUCACUAUCGAUCGAUAUAAACAGGCGUGAGGAUCGCAAUCUAGUGAAAUACUGCUAUUCUAAACUCCUGUGAACUUUAUGGGCUAAAUCCUUUAGUCUUAAUCGUCCUUAGGAAGAGUUAAUAGGAGUCUGAGUGAACAAAGGAGACAUGAGAAAAUUGGGAUUUUUUUGUGAUAGAUUUGUUUUUUACGAAUAAGCAAUGUUAUUUUUUUCUGAAUUACUCUGAAUUUUUCUGAAUUUUCUGAAUUAAUAAAAUGUUCAAUAAAUUAAUCCGACUUGAUAGAGCAUAUUACCUGAGAAUUAUGUUAGGCAAAAUACCUUUUUAUAGGGUUUUUUUAUUCUUGCAAAAUCAUUGAAAUAAUCCUCUACAGUGACACAGAUGGUGUCCACAGCAUUGGAUCCAGUCAGCCACUUCUUUGUCAUCAGCUCAUUGAGAUGUGGCUGAAAAAACAAUGAAAACUAAUCAGAACAAUUUCUGAACGGUGCCUAUCCCCUCAUUUCCAACAGAUCUUAAAAUGAAGUUCAAAACAACAGGUAAAGUUGAUUCCACAAAUGUAGACCCAUUUGUAAGUCUUUCAUACGAAAUAAGUAACUACAUAUACAAAUAGAUCUGACUGGUAGUAAAAAAAAAAAAGGACAGUAUUAUCAUAUUAGCAUACAAAAACUAAAGUAAGCAGCCAACUAUUGACUCUAGUGUUUGCUUUGUGUUAGUUCAUUGACAGUUUAAGGGUGUUUACUAUGGAUAAGGUAACAAUUUUAUCCUGUCCUAAAUAAACUCAGAGGUGAAAAGAACAAAACGUUUAUUAGCCCAAGAUAAAAGGUACUUACGUAACAGUUGUAAUUGUUCUUAUAUUGAAAUAUUAUCUGUCCUCUCCCGAAUGAGCUAUGAUCGGCUACUACAAACUCCUCCUCUGACUGGCUACUUCCCCCAGAACUCCACAAGUCCACACCAAAACUGGUGGCCUAAAUGUCUGUGUCUCCCCAUUACCUCUCCCCACUUACUUUAUUUGCCUCUUAAGUCUUAAUUCCUCGUUUCCCUUUCUAAGAAUAUUCUUUAUAAAAUAUUGAAUUUUAUAUCUCAUACGAACAAUGUGAGUGUCUACACAAGGAGUUAAGAAGUCGAGGCAAGGGGCAUGUCUGGGGAAUUCUAAGGACAAUCACUAGAAUGGAAGGAUUUUGUUCCUAAUUCCCAUAUACUUCUUGAUAAAUAAGUAACUGGAGCUGAGCAGCUCCUAAGGUUCAUAAGAAAAAAGUUUUCUGUGAACCUUCCAUGGUGCAUGGAUACGGCUUGUGGUCAAACACUUACAGAAUAUGGAAUUCAAAAGUGCUAUUGCUAGUUUGUCGCAAAGCAGCAGAGCUACUAAGCCCUAGAGGAGUCGACUCCUUUUUAUUCUCCCCCACUUUUUUCUUUAAAAAACCCACCACGUUCCAAGGGAAAUGCCAUACAAGAAACCAUGUUAAAGUUGCAUGUUUCAGAACCAAAAAGUUAGGAAAUGCCACCGUUAAGGUUGCAGGCACAACCUUAACUCUUCCCCUUUCAACAUGUGCUCGAUACACACUCGUUACAUGAUCUUAUUUUCCAAAUAAUGCAAUAUAUUAGCCUUUAUUUUCCCUACAACUUUGGAUACUCAAAUGUUACGUCAGCACAAUAUACUUAGUAUAUGCUAGACACACACUGCCUGCUCAAAUCAUUGGUGUGAAGUGUACGCAAGUCUAUUUUUACACAACAUACUACAUAUAUUAUUGCCCUGCACUGGUAAGUCUGUUGACAUAUUGCUAUUAUGCAAUACAAAAACGACCUCACUAGCAGCCAAGAUAGCUUCUUAAUUAACGUCCUUAUUCCUGAAUUUCAUAAUAAAAAAGGCUCUUUUUGGAGGAAAAAAAGUUCCAACCUCUAAAUCCAUGAAGACUUCAUCUAGCAGGCUAGAGCAUCCUUCCUUGGCAAUGGUGUCUAAAAUUACAUCCAUGUUUGCAUGGCUGCUUGACAUUCCCUCUUCCAUUUCAUUUUUCAAAUAUUUCCUUUUCAAACUGAUUAUAGAUUCCCUGCGAUAAACAAGAACAUUUUUCAGCAUCCAAUCUGACAUGUACGUACUAGUACACUGUUAUUAAAUUGUGUUUGUGAGUGCAUGUGUAUGAAUGAAUGACACAUUGGGUGGUGCUGGUUUGGGAGGAUGAAUGGCCUUUGAAGUCUGCCUCUAGGUCUUUAUUCCAGCACCUGGCUAUGUCCCUUUAAUGACUACCUUAGGGUGCCGCUGUGCAUGUGUGACUACUUUUCUACAGAUACAGAGGUCUGGAGGGCCAAAGGAAUGGAUGUGAGGGUUUGAGUCCCUUGAUCUCUGAAGUAAUGGGCAGGUGAGAUACCAGGCAAGAAAAAACAUGGUAUUGGCACCAACGUUUAGAUAUUCAAUCUCUUGCAUUAUUUUGGCCUAGAGUCAGUUCUCAAGAAGCUGGGAUGUCAGAAAAGAUUCCAGUCUUAGAAGUAUGCUGUUAAAUGCAAGAUUGGUCGUUAAAACAUCAACUCUUCAUGAUUUAAUUAAAGAGGAGGGCUCCUCUUCUGUGUAUAUUACUGAAAUUUCAUUAUAGCUGGACUGAUUUGGGAACAGUUGGUACUGGGCUGGUAUUUAGUACAGCGUGAACAAAAGGGGGAUUGAUAGAGAGGGAACAUAAUUCUUUUUGCAUCCACUCUGAAAAGUUGAAGGUCUCCUACCCCAAAACUGAACUGAAUAAAGGAUAGUCAUCUUUAAUUGUUGAUGCAAGUCCCAGGCUGGAGUUAAGCUGUAACUUCCCUCUUGUAUUUCAAAAUCCCUGUGUGAUCUAAUAAAAUUCUUCACUAUAGCAAUCUUGGAAGAAACAAGGCUGAUAGUGCUCAUUGACUGAAAAAAUCCAUCAAGAAUUCUUAGAAUCAUCUCAGGUUUUCAUGGCUCUGACCACCAUAGGCCCAUUAAAGAUGGUUACGGGCUCCAUUCCCAUAGUUGAUCACACUUUUUAUAUAAUAUUUGGGCCAAAACUGGAGGUUAGAAAGUUGGAAAUUAGGCCCUCCUCAUGAACCAUUAUCUUCUACAUUUUGAGACUGGGGCACCCCUAUCCUGUCAGAACAAGGGAUAGGAUUUGAUUGUCUUCAAAAUGUAAUGAAUCCACAGUACUACCAAAAGAUCAUGAGAGAUUAUAUUGGUCCUCUUCCAGAUCAACCUAUCAAGCAUUUGGUCUCUAGGAUUUCCAUGGCAAGACUUUAAAAAUCAGCUGAGUACAAGAAGGAUGUGCCUGCCUAGCUGCCUCUAUUCGGAACCAUUGCUGUAUUGCAGAAGAUAUAGAGUCAGGAGCUGAUCUCAAGAACUUGACCGCCAGUGGGAUUGGAGCUGCCAGUCACCAACAGAACAAAAUUUCCAGGGGGAGUGGAGAAGGAAAAAAGGCAGCAAGGUACCAUGUCCAGUGGAAAAAGGACAAGGAGCAUAUCUGGGAGAGGACGGGGACCAGGGAACAGGGAAGCAUGUACAAGGAAGCAAAGGAGUCCAGAAGUUUACUGUUACUUACAGUAAGUGUCGACAUGUACUUGCUAAGAAGCUGGUCUACCGCAUUUUGUGAAAUUAAAGGAUUUAGAGAAUUUACAUCCACUUCUGGGGCCAGUUCGGAAUUCCCCAUCAUCUCUGUACUGAAUUGAAAAAAUAAAACAAAGCCAUAAAUCGCAAAUGAAGAAAGAAAAGAAGUUAUAGAAAUUUGAAACCGUUCUGAUACAACUUCAACAGGUGAUCUUCCAUUAUUUAGAAGUCUCUGAAAAUUCUUAAACAAUCCAGGAAAUAAAUUAAUUGAAAGUACAAAGAAACCUCAAAACCAGAACUACUAUUUGGCUAACCAAAAAUACUUAAAGUACUAAUUCAUUUACGUAGAUAUAUUUUUAAUAUAGAGAUUUUAUCCCUAUAUCCAUUUCUAAAUUAUUUUUUAUCUAGAACUUAAAGUUACUAAUGAGCAAUCACUCAAUUUUAUACAUAAAAACUAAAUUGUUGUGCUGACUAUGGAUUUCUGACACAGACACUGUAGACACAGAACAUAUACAUUCUAAAAUUUUGGGGGAAUAUUAGUGUAAACAAUUAAACAUAAUCAGAGCUUUAAGUACAGAAGCCUAUCAUCAGAAAGGAAGGAGUAAAUAAUGAUCAACAUAUCCACAGUCAACAAUACUGAUCAUUCCCUAGUUUCUUUUAAGCAGCCAUACAAUAACACCAUAGUUCUUUAAAAGUAUACAAUAAAUAUAAAAGAGGAGACAGUAUAUAUACACAUUGUUACAGAACUAGCAAUAUAGCUCAAAUGUUCAGUACAAUAGUGGUACUAUAUGCUGUAGUCAUGAUGAAGAGGUCACCUUUUUUGUAGGAGGAAGAAAGCAGGGCAAUUUAUGCAAUUUAGCAAGGGCAAAAACAAAAAUUAAACUCAUCUGAAUUUAAAAUAUUACUAUAAAGAUAUUAAAGCAAGAUGACAAAAAUGUGCAUUUGUACGUGAUUAAAACCAAAGCAUAAGAUAGUAGCAACAGCCCUUCAUCUUCCAAACCCCAAAAUGGAGAUAUCCAAGGAAAGCACACACUUUCAUAAUUGUUUAAUUACAAUUAUGAAAUGGUUCCAAUAUCUGGAAAGAAACUUUUUACAGUGUUUUGUAAAUUGUAAAUGAAAAAAAUUAUGUAAUCAAAAUUAAGGAAAUAAAAAUUCCUAAAAUGCAAACAUAAAUGAGAGUAAUAAAUAUAUUUAAUAUAAUCUUAAAAUCUAUUUUAUAUUAUUUCUUCUUCACUUUUCUGAAGAUAGCCACCAGUCCCCGUUUCCAGGUCCACCUCACUGAUCUUCUAGUUCACAUAUAUCCAACACUGAGCUAGGAGGAGCUUUCUUCAUAAACAAUGUCCAUUUUACCGAGCACGAUAUCAGCAAGAUAAUUUACAAAUUUGAAGUGAUAUACUGAAACUCUGGAGAUCACUUUGCUCGCUACUGAAUUGCAGCCAUCUCUGAAGUGAAACAUUUCCGCUCCAACAGCACUCUGCAACAGCAACACUAUGCAAGGUUUCAGAGAGAGGAAGUGAAAAACUUCUUUAUGCAAUUGAAACUGUAGGGACUAAUUUACAUGGGCAAAGUGUAAUUACUAAAGUUGGACAUUGGCCAGGAUACAUACAUUCUAUCCCUGCUCUUAAGAAACAGGCUAGUGACCAGGACUUUACUUUUAGGUUUCAUCCAAAAACAUGGCACUUCAAGAAACAGAAUGCUUCAUAGCACCAUUCUAGGGAAUUGGCUCAAUAUCAACUCAGAGGGAAGAGUGCCAACUACCAAAUCACCACUAUCACUUCCAAUAGCUCCUAGAUAUGUCUUAGGUCUGGUUUACACCUAAAACUUAGGCCAGCUAAGCCAUGACACUUGGGGGUGUGCAAAAUUCACACCCCUGAGAGACAUAGUUAAGCUGACCUAAAUCCUGGUGUAGACAUGCUAGGUCAAUUCUUCCGUCUAUCUAGCUACCACCGCUCAAGGGGGCGAUUGACUAAUGUGAUAGAAAAACCCUUUCCUUCACUGUAUUAAGUGUCUACACUACAGCAAUGUAGCUGAAGCACUGCAGCAGUUGCGCUGUAGUGCUUGUAGUGUAGACUAGGGAUGUAAAAUGUUAACUGGUCAACUGAUAAGCAUCAGUCUUAUUGGUAAGGUAUUCCAGUUAACAUUUAAACUCUGCUGCGGGACUCCGCUCCCAGGAUCCCCACCCUCCCCCCACAUGGGUCCUGGCCCCUCCCGUCAUGGGUCCCGGAGGCUGGCAGCUCGGCCCCUAGGCACGCUGGGGCAGCAGUGGAGCCUAACGGAUAAACAUUUACUUUUUUAAAACGUUAUUUACAUUGCUAGUGUAGAUACAGCUUAACACUACAGCUAAAAAAACUACUCACCAAUGAUAAAUUGGAAAUUUUCCAUGCCAAGUGCUUAGGCCAUCAAUUUCUGCAGAAAAACAUCCUUUCAGAACAGGAAUUGUCUCUUUUCUGCUUGUGUGCAUUAUCCAGUCCCAACUGAGAUCUCUGGGUGCUACUAUAAUAAAUUUUAAAAUGUUCCUAGCCCUUACUGUUCCAGAAAUAUCAUUCCAAAUGUAAACUAUGCAGUGACGUCUUCCUGAGCAUGCAGGCAGUUUGCCUGAGGUAUUUUUAAGAAGCUUAACAUGUUGGUAUCUAAGCACUAAUCCAGUGCCUCUGCUGCCAUCCAGAGGUUUCUGUGACACUAUAUGAUUGAAACACGACCAUUUAGAUCCUUAAUAUUGCCACUGUUAGACAAUUGCAACAAAUAUUUUACAAAUUAUGUCAUGUAAGGUACCAAUGGAAAAGUCACAAUCUAUCAAAUAUGAUUAUCCUGUUUGUAUGUAAGUAUCGUCUCUGUAUCUAAAGUUAUGAAUAUUGACUAUGUACUGGUAUUUCAAAUGUAUUUGCUCUUGGGGUAACACCACAAGGUAAUUUACAUCCAGUCUGGCCAGCACAUUGUGAAUGAACUAUUCAAGUUGAUGGCCCAAUUAAAGAACACAGUAGGCCAUAGAAGAAGCUUGUCCCGGCCCGGUUAGCCUUCCUGUGGACACGUUAGCCACAGUACAGGUAAUGGGUGCCCCUAUGAGUCAUCCAUUUAUGCAAGGGACUAACUCAUAUGACCCUAGACUCCAUCUUGUGCCUGUAAUUUUCCACAAACUAAGACUGAGAGCGUCCCCUCCACAUGGGUGAAGAUAUAAAAGACCCUGGAAGCAUCUCCAUUUUGCCUCUUUCAUGCUUUGAUCUGUGAACUUACAAUAAAAGGAGCAUUCCAAUCAAUGGACAGAGGGCCUUCCAAUCUUUUGGAAGUUACCAGAGACUUUACAAGCCAGCAGUUUAUGCCAUCACUGCUUCAAGCCUGAUACAAGAACUUUGCAAUGAAUGGAUGUAUUUGUUUUCCACAACCAUCUGAACUCUCUCCUCUUUCUGUUUUCUUAUAAAUAAACCUUUAGAUAUUAGAUACUUAAA